rnacentral:rRNA from 1 species
AGUGAACGCUGGCGGUAGGCCUAACACAUGCGAGUCGAACGGCAGCACAGUAAGAGCUUGCUCUUACGGGUGGCGAGUGGCGGACGGGUGAGGAAUACAUCGGAAUCUACUUUUUCGUGGGGGAUAACGUAGGGAAACUUACGCUAAUACCGCAUACGACCUACGGGUGAAAGCAGGGGAUCUUCGGACCUUGCGCGAUUGAAUGAGCCGAUGUCGGAUUAGCUAGUUGGCGGGGUAAAGGCCCACCAAGGCGACGAUCCGUAGCUGGUCUGAGAGGAUGAUCAGCCACACUGGAACUGAGACACGGUCCAGACUCCUACGGGAGGCAGCAGUGGGGAAUAUUGGACAAUGGGCGCAAGCCUGAUCCAGCCAUACCGCGUGGGUGAAGAAGGCCUUCGGGUUGUAAAGCCCUUUUGUUGGGAAAGAAAAGCAGCAGGUUAAUACCCCGCUGUUCUGACGGUACCCAAAGAAUAAGCACCGGCUAACUUUGUG